AACAGCUGAUUGUAAGGAAUUGAAGAAAAUAUUUAAAAACUGAUGAAUUUUCACAGCCAUUUAUGUCGCGAUUUAUGGUGUUUCAACUGUUUUAACAUCACCUAGGAAAUUAACAUUAAGACUGCAUUAAGAUAUUAGGAUCCUGCAGAUAACUAGAUAAGAAGUAUGAUCUUGUUAGCAUACCUAUUCCGUCAUAAUAUGAAGUGAAGAUAUUCAUGGUGUGGAAGUUGUUACUUUAAUUACAUAGUGCAUAUGAAAUUGGUCCUUUACAUCACAUUUAAAAUCGACGUAAUGCUACUAUGCAAAAUAGUGAGAGAUGUGAACCCUAGGGAGAGCUACAGAAAUACUUUUGUUGAGAGACAAGUUAUGAUAGUGAUUAGAAUCGCAUAUUCUAGACUUUUACUU
rnacentral:lncRNA from 1 species